CUUCCCAAGCCCGAGACCUGAGUGAUCUUGCUCCACAGUUUGAUGAGAGCUGUGGACCAAGCUGCCUUGUCCAGGGAAGCAAGCUGUGGACCCUGGGAUGAGGACCCUGGCUGAGGUGCCCACAGCUCGGAACGGGCUGCUUCCCUAGCAGUGUUCACGCCGGCAUCACCAGGCUGCCCCCUCCCCUCAUGGUGUCCUUAAAAGAAGAGGAGGGAACAGACACCCUGGGAAGAAGCCUGCGUGGAGAUGGAGGCAGAGAGUGGAGUGAUGCAUCCACAAGCCAGAGAACACCAAGGAUUGCCGGGAGCCCCCAGGGAGGUAAGCGGAGGCGAGGACAUGUCCUCCCACACAAACUUCAGAGGGAGUACGGCCUCCUGAUGUCUUGAUUUUGGACUUCCAGUCUCUAGAACUCUGAGAGAAUACAUUUCUGUUGCUGUAAGCCACCCAGUUUGUGGUAAUUUGGAGCCCUAGGAAACUAGCACAAAUGGUAAUUUUAUAAUUCCAUUUUGUUUUUUAUUAACCCUUGGGCUUGCUAGUUCCUCCUUUUCAGAGUUGGCAUCCAUUUGCAGCAAAAGGUUAACCUUUGGUCCCCUGCUUCACCGCUGCUGCACUGGCCUUCAACACGAGCACUUACAAGUUCAGUUCCCCAUUGCACCGAAAAACCACAGCCAAAAACUCUGUGUGACACACAGUUUUCCUGCCAGAAGGCUGCACGUGGCAGUAACGCUGCCUUCAGACCAAAUUCUGAGACAAGCGAGGUGGGCAGCCCUCUGUGGUGGGUGGUGGUGGGUGAUGGCUCUGGUCUCCUAAAUAAAGCUUAGCGACCUGGCCAGAGAAGACAUCGCAACCCUAAAUUAAAAGGGAAUG
rnacentral:lncRNA from 1 species